UACAGAGGCCUCGAGCGUUAGGCGGAAUCACUGGGCUUAAAGCGUGUGUAGGCGGAUGUCUAAGUGCCUUGUGAAAUCCCACGGCUUACCCGUGGAACGGCUGGGCAUACUGGAUGUCUUGGAGCCACUUAGGGGCUACCGGAACAAAUGGUGGAGUCGGUGAAAUGCGUAGAUAUCAUUUGGAACGCCAAUGGUGAAAACAGGUAGCUGGGAGUGUGCUGACGCUGAGACACGAAAGCCAGGGUAGCGAACGGG
rnacentral:rRNA from 1 species